rnacentral:lncRNA from 1 species
GUGAAUCAUCGUCCUUGGCAAGAGCAGGUGGCUUCAUGUUGGGCCAGUAGAUAAAUCUAUCUUGUGGAGUCGAUGUGAUUAUUAGGCCCUGUUGUGGACCUGAUAAAGGGGUCUCCUUGUCCGGGUCCGAGUAGUAGUCGAGGUCCUCGAAUGUAUCUAUUUCAGAUUGUGAUCUGGACAGGACUGUCUCAUCAGUAGUGGUCGUGUUGUGGAGUCCAAACAGGAAUCGACUCGAGUAGUAGUCCUACUUGCAAGAUGGUUUAUGCGCCGGCUUGUGA